rnacentral:rRNA from 1 species
UACGGGGGGGGCAAGCGUUGUUCGGAAUUACUGGGCGUAAAGGGCUCGUAGGCGGCCAACUAAGUCAGACGUGAAAUCCCUCGGCUUAACCGGGGAACUGCAUCUGAUACUGGAUGGCUUGAGAUUGGGAGAGGGAUGCGGAAUUCCAGGUGUAGCGGUGAAAUGCGUAGAUAUCUGGAGGAACACCGGUGGCGAAGGCGGCAUCCUGGACCAACACUGACGCUGAGGAGCGGAAGCCAGGGGAGCAAACGGG